CCGGCUGUUUGGCUGUGUGAGGAGCCCACACAGGGAAAAUGGUGCCUUUCCUCCAGCCCUCGCCUGAAGCCACCCACCUCAGUGUGCCCCCCGUGUGUCUCCGACACCCCAGAGGCACCGCCCCACCGCUGGAGCCCAAGGAGACCCUAGCCUACCCUGGCUGCUCCAGAAGCUGGAACCUCCUAGAGAUCCAGGAGAGGCAGAGAAGAAGGGGCAGCCACUGCUAAAAAGGAGUCGCAAGACCAAUGGGCCACUCCAGCUCCUGAAUUCCGUGUGCUCAUUGCAAGGUUGCAGGAGAGGGAAGCUGUGGGGUCAAAAGUGAGUCAUUUUCCAGGCAGAGAAGGAAUACCAAGAAGGCAGGUAAGAAGGCACAGAGGUGGAAAGCAGUUCUGUUUGCUUUGGCAGUUCAGGUGUCUGGGGGUUGGGCGGGGUGCCUCCAAGGCGGGCGGCAGAUGAGACCAGGCCCGGCACUGCGCCGGCAACUUCAGGUUGAAGCUAGACCUCAGUCAAGUGGAAAAUGGGCGCCCCCUGGGAGCAGCGCCGGGUAGUGGACGCCGAGGCCCGAGCUGAGGAAGGAGUGGGACGGGAGAGAGGGUGCGGCUCAAAUUGCCUGCCCGCCAGUUUUGUCCUCACAGGAGCGAACUCCUUCCAGCACGAUGGAUUCCUGGGGUCCCAGAGCAACCAGGCAACCAGGAACCAGGAACCUCGAAAAAGCAUCAACCAACCCGUGCCCCCAUUCAGGCCCUGAGCUGAGCGCUUUCGCGAACACUGUCUUAACACGCCUAGCUCUGCUGCGAGAAUAGCGAGUGAAGGCGUGAGACUACAAUUCCCGGCAGGUCGUUGAGAAGGGGUGACGGAGAGGAGGAAAGACUCGGUUUCCGUCGGCUUGCAAUUUGGCGUGUCCACCGUGAUGCACAUUUCACCAGCCCACUUCCUUUCUCUCUAGAAGCUACCGAAGGGACUACGUCCCCCAGCAGGUGUUGCCGCAGGGAGCGAGUGGUAGGCCGCUAUCUUUACUGUAGUCCUUUCCCCCGUUUCCGCAGGGAGUAGCUUUAGCGCGUGAACUACAAAUCCCAGGUCGUCCCCGCCCCUUUCCUUCGGCCGCCAUCUUUGCUGGUAGUCCCCGCCCCUUUUUCCUUUCCAUUGUCUCGACCGAAGAUAAUAGAGAGGCGCCGGGAAGACUGCAACUCCCGUCAGGCUCUGCGGCACGGGGAGGGGCUUUUCGAGAUUAUAGACGCGGGCGAGGUGCCCAAGGUGGUAAAAAGAGGGGACGGGUAGAGGCUAGGUAGCCUGCCAUCUUUAUGGUAGUCUCCUUAACCUCCCGGUUCCGUCAUUCUUAAGGAACACUAAAAGGCAAGAAAAACUACUAUUCCCAUCGCACCUCAUAAAAUAGACUACUAGUCAGGUGUACGCCCCUCUUCCGCCAUCUUGCUUGUAGUCCGCGUUCCUUUUCACCUUUCCAUUGUUCCUGACGAGUAGAAAUGGCAGCGGGAUGGCAGCAGAUGGACUGCGACUCCCGUCAGGUACCACACACGCGGAGAGUUGUGGACAGGGGGGCGUGUGAGUGCCUGGGAAGGAGGUCGGGUCAGGGAAGCAGGCCAUCUUGUUUGUAGUCCUCGUUCCCACUCCUUCUGUAUGCUCUGCAACGGGGAGCCUCGGGGCAACUGGACUCUAACUCCCGGCAUUCUCGGCUCUCGGUUUGGCACGCCCUCCGCCAUCUUGCUUGUAGUCCCCGUAGGCCCCAGCGUCCCAUUGUUCCCACGGAGGCACCAGCGUCCUCAGGACUACGACUUCCGUCGUGCCCUGCGCGCGUCUUGCCUGGAAA